rnacentral:sRNA from 1 species
UUGCAUGUCUGGUUCUCUUCUGUAGUUGGCAAAAAACAGUGUGAAUUCUGUCAUUGUGUUCUUCAAGCUGUUGUAAGCUAUCUGUGCCAUCAGUAAUAAUUCAACCCAAUUGUUCUGUUGGUAGUUGAUAUAGCAUCUGAGAUAUUGUUCAACUGUCUGAUUCAACCUUUCUGUUUGUCCAUCUGUCUGUGGGUGGUAAGCUGUUGACAUUUUGCUUUUGAUUCCCAUCUUAGCCAUUAAAGUCUGCCAGAAUUUCAAUGCAAAUUUGGUGUCUCAGUCCGUGAUUAUCUCCUCUGGUGUUCCAUGGUUGGCAAACACAUUUCAUAAAACCACAUAUGCCAUUUCUGGUGCCGAUGUUGCUUCUUUGAACAGUAUGAAGUAGGCGUACUUCAUUAAUCUGUCUGUUACCGUUAAGAUAGAGUCAUAGUGUAUACCUGUUCAAGGUUCUCUUGACUUUGGCAAUUUGACAAUAAAGUCCAUUGCUAUCAAUGCCCAUGGUUUUCAUAAAACUGGUAUUGGCUGCAUCUUUCCGUACGGCGCGUGUCUGCUUGAUUUGCUUCAUUGACACAUGUCACAAUUCUGUACAUAUUCUUGAAUAUCUUUCCACAUUCCUGGCCAGUAGUACAUCCUGGUGAUUCUUUCCAUCAUUUUAUCAGUUCCGAAAUGUUCUGCAGUUACCGCAUCAUGAUUUUCUUGCAUUAUAUCAUUCCAUGCUGCUUUUGGAACAUAAAUCAAUCCAUUGUGGUAGACUAUUCCAUUGUCCUUGAUCAUGUUUCUAGCCUGUUCAUCGCUUGCUGUGGCUUUCCUGAUCUUUCAUAUAUUCUCAUUAUCUGCUGA